CAAAACAACAUCUGAUCUUCUCUCUCUCUUCUCUCUCUCUUCUCUCUCUCUAUCAACAGAUCCAAAAUUUCAGACACCUCGCCUUGAAUACCUGAUGUUAUUUCAAAUUUCAAAUCCCUCAACAAAACCACACCUCCGACCUUCUGCUAUCUGCUGGAGAUCAAACAUCACCACCGUCCCCAGUCCUCACCAGCAAGAUCAGAUAGAAAUAGCAUGGCCAAGAAAAAUGUCGAUGGAUUUUUAGGGCUUCGUGUUAAAAUCCCCUGUCGUGUUCUAAGUGCCAGAUUUAGGGUUUCGGUGAGGUUUUGGCCUCCUUGAUUUCGCGUUGCAUUUUACAUCGAUGUUUAGAUCCGUCUCUCGCGAGUUCGUUCCACAAGUUGAAAUUCUGAUGACAAGAUUGGGACAUCUUCAGCGAGAUUAUCGGGAAGACCAAUGUUGUGACCACACCUAGAGUGGUUCGGACCUGCUGGUAAUGGGUUUGUUAGGGUCAGUGCCUUUGAAUUUGCAGGUUUUUGACUUUAAUCGUUUCGACAGAGGUUGCAUGCUAUCUCAUAUUUGUGGUUCUUGACUUUAAUCAUUUUGACUUUAUUUGGUGCAUGUUUUAACUUUCGUUAAUAAUAUCAUCAGGAUGGGGUGUUCAGGAUUGACUGUUUGGAAUUAGAGAACAAAGAGGGCUUUGAUUAAAUUAGAAGACAGUGACUCUAAUGAGACGAUCAAGCAAAUUAUGUCAUUCACAUUGAUAGAAAAGGUAGAAGGGUGCAAUUUUGAGGGAAAUACUUCUUCAAGGCUCAAGCAUCCGUUAACUAAAUACAUUGGGGCCUGAAUUUUCCUUGGUUUCAUAAAAUGUUAGCAUCUAGCACUACUUCAUUAUUUCAGUAUUGAAUAGUGGUGCUAUAUAUGAUGCCAGUAAGUCUCUUGAGUAUAGUUGGUUAAUCUUUAUUGUGGAACUUCCUAUUUACAUUUAUUAGAAAGCGCAUCUGGAAACGUGGAUCUGAUGAAAAACAUGUAAUGCAUAGUCUACUUUCUAAUGUUUAUUAAACCAUACGGUUGCUAGAGACUUCUGAUAAAUCUUGAUAUUAUCAAUGCAGCAAGUAUAUGCACUUCUAGAGAAUACUGGUACCUAUUUGAAUCCUAACAAUGUGGACUGGUUUGGAAUUGAAGUUGCUGACAUCCAAGAAAUGUUGAUUGUUUAGUGGUUAUCGAAUUUUGUUACAAGCAAAUCCUUUUGAUUAUUCUACCACUAAGUUAAUGGUACAAAUUAGCACAAAAUAGCAGUUGAAAUAGUAUUUAAAUGGUCUUUUUUUUGUUUUUUUACAAAAAGGAAACACACAAUUAUUCUCAGUUCUUCUGUGUUUGUUUCUUUAUUUCUUUUAACGUUUCACCCAUGAAAUGGUUCGUGUUAUGAAAGAAUAUUAAAAAUAAUAUAUGUACUUAAGAAUGAUUGUUUAAUUUGAGCGAGUUACUCGAGAUCUUGACCUGGAGUUGUCUCAGACUAAGCCUAUCCCUCGAGUUAUUUCAACCUCAAGUUUUCUAUUAUUUUAUUUUUGUUUCAGGUAUAAAAGAUAGUAGAGGGCCAGUUUGAGUUAUCCAGAAAUAUGUACAAGCCUACGCCUCUGGUUGAAGAGUAAGCAACUUUUGAGACUUUCCUCAUGUGGUGAUUAUCUAAUGAACAUAUCCCAGGUUUGUUUAGAGUCUCAAUAUUGUAAUGUAAGAAACUUGUUUAACCAAGGUUUUAGAUGGCGUGCCUGAGGUGCGAGGCGAUUUGGGUCAAAUCUGGUCAAAGUUAGGGUAUGUAGGAGGGCAAUAUGUAAUAACAAAAAUAUAAAUAUUUCAUUGUUUCAGAAACAGUGUGCCAAAUACGAUUACAAAAAUAUCAUCAUUUCAAUGAUAUUCUAAUUUUAUUAACCAGAGACAGUUACAGUUGCAGGUAAAUCUUUUUUUUGUUUGGUUUUGUUGACUUAAUUCUUUUACUCUUUUUAAUAUGGGUCAAACAUGUAAGUCUAACUUUCGCUGAAAUUACUAAGGAAACGCCUUGGCCCCCUUUAUACUUUCCAGUUUUAUCUCCAAGAAAUAGCAAUUUCUACCGAAAUUUACUAACGAAUUGGGUUGGGUUUUUUUUAAACAGGGCAUCUUUGAGCAUCAUAUUAUGGAAACUGUUACAGCUGCAGGUAAAUCUUUUUUUUUUUGUUUGGUAUUGUUGACUUAAUUCUUUUACUCUUUUUUAAUAUGGGUCAACCAGGUAAGUCUAAAUUUCGCCGAAAUUACCAAGGAAACGACUUGGCCCCCUUUAUACUUUCCAGUUUUAAAGGCAAGAGAAGUGUUCUAAAGGUAAAACACUGCACGGAUGCUAUGAUUCUGGAAACAUCAAAUAAGUUUCUUACUGGGUGGAUCGUUAGGAGGGAUAUGGUUGGGUUGAAUAUGGAGUCAUAGUGCAGCUAUGUUAGUCUGAUGUAUAAUUAGUUUAUUUUUUAAUUCGGAGAUAUUUUGUGAGUGGCUUGCUAAGUUCUGUUUUGGUGUUUAUAUAUUUCUUUCUUUGGCUGGGCAAAAACAUGGAUGAAGGAAAGUCGAAGUCAUCACUGUAACCUUUUUUCCAUUCCCAUGUAUUGAUGACAUGAAUAUUUUAUUAAGAAGGAAGAACUUUUUUUAUAA